CAGACCCCUGGGCUAACAGCCCAAGGGAUGCACCUCAAUGGCCCACCGGUGUCCGGUGUCCGUAUCAGCAAGCCUGGACCAGCUCAGAACAACGGCCCCCACCAAUGUCUCAGUCUCCGGAGAGGAUCCUCCUCUCACCAAGAUGCCCCCAGAGCCCACCAGGAAGAUUAGCCCUGAGCUAACAUCUGCUGUCAAUCCUCCACCUUUUGCUGAGGAAGACUGACCCUGAGCUGACAUCCGAGCCCAUCUUCUUCUACUUUUUUUUAUAUAUGGGAAGCCUCCCACAGCAUGGCUUGCCAAUCGGUGCCGUGUCCGAAUCCUGGAUCCAAACCAGCGAACACCAGGCCAAUGAAGCGGAACGUGCAAACUUAACCGCUGUGCCACCGGGCCAGCCCCUGUCACCCUUUUUAAAAAGAGCAGGGGAAAAAGUGAUUUAACAAAAAAAUAGGGAAAGAAGAGACAAGUCCUCCUACCCUUCCUGACUCAUGUGUUUAGUUCUAGUGUUUUAAGAAGGAUACUGACAAAUUUGUGCAAAUCCAAUUAAGAGCAACCAGGGGAAUUGUGAAAAGGCUUAAAACCACAUCCUGUAAGCAACAGUUGAAAGCACUAGGAAUAUGGCUUCUGAGGAUGAGAAGCUGUGGCCGGAGGAGUUAGAGGGAUAGGCAGAGAGAGGGAGUGAGAUAGGCUGGUCAGCUGUACGUAUUGGCAAAUCCUUAAAGGGAUGCCACAUAGAGGAGGAAAAGGCAAAAAACAAACAAAAAAACUACUCAUGAAAAGGAGAGCAAGUUGGCUGAAUACAAAGAAAGUGGUUUCUAACGCUGCAAUGAAAAAAAUGCCUUGGGAGGUAGAGAAUUUUCCCUUACAGUGGUGGCGGCAGGGGGGCAGGCAGUUCAUGCUGCCUAAGGCUUCUCCUGACUCCCAGAAUAGAUUUCAUCUGUCCCAAAUAUUGAACAGGGAGGCAGUGCGGAGGUUUAAUAGUUCACUGGCCUUGAUUUUACAAGUCCUAUGACUAAAUCUCCGCUCAACCUUUAGGAGUUAGGUCACCUUGGGCAAGUCUCUUGGACUCUCCCGCUUUGCUUCCUUUAUAAACAGAAAUAAUACAACCCACACUGACUUCUGGGAUUAUUGGAAAGCUUUGCAACCUGUAAGAUGCCACAUAAACACAAGUUUCUGUUUUUGUGGGAUAA
rnacentral:lncRNA from 1 species